GAUGAACGCUAGCGGCAGGCCUAAUACAUGCAAGUCGAACGAGAUUAAGAGGCUUGCUUCUUAUGAAAGUGGCGCACGGGUGCGUAACGCGUAUGCAACCUACCUUAAUCAGGGGGAUAGCCCGAAGAAAUUCGGAUUAAGACCGCAUAAAAACACAGGAUAGCAUUAUCCAAUGUUCAAAUAUUUAUAGGAUUAAGAUGGGCAUGCGUGUCAUUAGCUAGUUGGCGGGGUAACGGCCCACCAAGGCGACGAUGACUAGGGGAUCUGAGAGGAUGACCCCCCACACUGGUACUGCGACACGGACCAGACUCCUACGGGAGGCAGCAGUAAGGAAUAUUGGUCAAUGGAGGGAACUCUGAACCAGCCAUGCCGCGUGCAGGAAGACAGCCCUCUGGGUCGUAAACUGCUUUUAUUCGGGAAUAAACCUUUCUACGUGUAGGAAGCUGAAUGUACCGAAGGAAUAAGGAUCGGCUAACUCCGUG
rnacentral:rRNA from 1 species